rnacentral:pre_miRNA from 1 species
ACAACAAAAUUCGGACCGACGGUCUAACGAGCAAUAUCACCCGCUCAAUGGAAGAUCUUCCCUUCGUCGUUUUCC